CGCCCGGAUAUUCAGUCACCACUUUAGGGUAGCGAAUUGCUACCUUGACGGUAACUAUGACAUCCAGAACUUAAGCCAGCUUCACCCGCCUUACACAGUACAUCGCCACUUUACGUAUCUAUACUGUGUCUUGUGGCUAUCGCUUCCGUCGAGUGAUCCGGACCUAACUGCGAGUCCCUGCUUUCG
rnacentral:rRNA from 1 species